GGAAAUUAGUAAACGCCGAUUGCCAUAUCAUAUUCCAAAAACUGGUUAAACAAGUUUACCUAACAGAGGGUUCUCGAUGUCACCAGCCAUGACCAGCCGGCCGGUGAUGCUCUUUCUUCUCGUUAUCACCGUCGCUUCCAUAACUUCCGGUGUCCAAGCAUCAAGAUCCAUCGUGUUCUUGCCCCAGCCUUUGUCAUCCCUCGAUAUAAUCAACACCACUCUGCACCAGGGACAAAAUGCACGCUGUUCAUUUACGGUAAGCAUAAGGACAAGCUGCUCUUCUCCAGCUUACACUAGAGACCAAAUUAGUUUAGCCUUUGGCGAUGCUUAUGGAAAUCAGGUUUAUGCACCGCGGAUAGAUGACCCGGCAAGCAGGGCUUUUGAGCGGUGUUCGAAGGAUACAUAUACGGUAUACGGUCCAUGUACGUAUCAGAUCUGUUAUGCGUACCUGUACAGGAGCGGAUACGAUGGAUGGAUACCGUAUGAUGUUACCAUCUACGGCUACAACUCGAAAGCCGUCACCUUCAUCUACAAUGUUGCCAUCCCGGGAAACACUUGGUACGGCCACAAUUACUGCCGUUCACGGGCUGUGAAAUCUGCCGGAAACUUGGGCUGGAGUUUGCUUUCUGUUGGUUCCACUAUGUUGUAUACAAUUGCUGGGCUAUUUCGUGGUUAGAGUUUAUGGGCCUUUUGGUUGUUUUGUCUGAAUUGGGCCUUGCGUUGAAAGCCUGCCUAGUUUUAUGGGAUUUGUAGGUUGGCUUGACCAAUUUCUUUUUGGGUUAUUCACGUGUUGUUUUAAUAAAUAAAUGAAGUGAAUGCUAAUGCCACUUGCACUUAGGUUUUGG
rnacentral:misc_RNA from 1 species